rnacentral:rRNA from 1 species
CGCGUAGGCGGAACAUACAGUCAGAUGUGAAAUUCCCGGGCUCAACCUGGGGGCUGCAUUUGAUACGUGUGAUCUUGAGUGAGGAAGAGGGUCGUGGAAUUCCCAGUGUAGAGGUGAAAUUCGUAGAUAUUGGGAAGAACACCGGUGGCGAAGGCGGCGACCUGGUCCUUUACUGACGCUGAGGCGCGAAAGCGUGGGGAGCAAACA